ACCAUCAAAUCUGAAAGUAGCAAGAUUGUUAGUUUCAGAAUAUUCAAAAACAAAUACAAUUGGGUGGCUUCAGUUUUACCUGACCAUUUCCUGCUCCUGAUGAAGACUCUGCUGGUUUACUAUCACCCUCCA